AAGGAGAGGGAGUUUAUGGCGAGGCUGCAAAAUACACCAGAGAAGGCCCGAGAAGUCUUGUGAACACGCCAGUGUGCUUCAACCUAACUUGUGUGGUGGGAAAUGUCUUCAGCCACACCGGAAAAUAAGUUUUGUUUUUAAUACUUUGCUUUUGUAUGAGCUGGAUUAUACAGUACACCAAACGUAUUAUGAAUAACACAACAUGGAUAUUCCAUUACUAUGGGUUCUUACUGAUAUUUCAGGACCAUUUAUGACGGGUCGGGAUAUUGCCAUCCUUGUGUAACCCAGACUAAAAGGUACACAGGCAUAGAUUCACAAGGGAGUGGAGGGAGGCAUUUUAUAGCAUUUUGAUAAGAUGCAUAGUGAUAUUAAUCAAAUACAGUAAUGCAAACAAAAGAAAUCUAUGGUUUCUAUGGGAGAAAAACAAACAUUAUGUACAUUAGCCAUGCCCUUCAGGAAUUGGGAUUUUGUACGUUGAUACAUUUUGAAACCACUUCAAUACAUGAUACAUGAUGUAUGUUCUAAUGUCUAAGUUUUACAUAAAUUAAAUAAUUUGCACAUAUA